UCAUAUGCAGAUGAACUAAUGAAGAAAAUUUUCCUUUUUUAAUUCUGAUAUGAAGCAUUUGUUUCUUUCUAUUCAGCUAUUCUUUUUCAAUUCUAUUUUUCAAAAAAAAAAUUGUUCAACUUUUAUUUUAUUCAUUCUAUUCAUUAAGUGGCCACCAAUUAAAGCUUAUGUCACUCUUUAUAACAUCUAACAUAAUUGUAUAUAUAAAAUAAUAAAUAAAUAUUAUGUAACUUUUAUAAUAAAGUAUUAUGCCUCUUGCAAAAAAAAAACAUUGGGAGUGUGAUAUAUGUCAUCUUAUUUAUUGCCCUUUAUAAUUAUUUGUUUUUUUGGAUAAAAUGUGAAAUUUACUGAUCAAUGAAGAAGAAUAGAAAUUUACAAAAGAUUAUGAAAAGUUAUAAAAGCUAUAAAAGAAAAACUAUACAAUGCUUGUAAGAAAUGAAUUUCAAGCUCUAGUGUGUUAAGCUGUAACUUUGAACCACCGACACAUCAAGCCUGCAAACUUGUGGUCGGCCUUAUAUCGAAAAGAAGUAAUCAUAUUUCGCAUAGCCUUAUCAAUAAUCUGAACCACAUGUUCUACUGUCUAAAACCCUGUUUGGUGCUUCUCUCAUUCCUCUCUUUCUAAAGAUGAUAGAUACUACUCCCAAACACCAUUUUGAGAAGAAUUUUGUCCAUGACAUGAAGAAAAUUUCCACUCACAAACUGCAUUGUAGCCAUCUAGUCUGGAUCAGUCCUAUCCCCACUCAGUCGAUUUACAAGCUUGUCCCAUACCGUAAGGGAGUAAGGGCAUGCAGACAAAAACACGGUCCCGUGUCUCAUUGCUCUCUCCACACAAGACACAACCCUGCUGGAUACUCCAAGUUAUCAUUCUAUCACCUGUUGAUAAUCUUUUCUUCACUGCCAGCCAUACUAUAAACGAUAACCGCAGAACCGUCUGAGAAAACCAAACAUUUUUACUCCAGAAUACAAUAGCCUUUUUCACCCUGAUUUGGUCCCCAAGUCCUUGCCGAUGAAAAACAAGUUUUAUAGGUAUCCUCUGAAUGCUUCCAGACCACCAAAUGGUUACCAAGAGAGUCAUUAGGCACCUGUUCAUUUUGAAUGCGAUCGUAAAGGGUGUGGAAGUGCCGGCGUCUACGACCUCGAAUGUUUCAAUCUGAGUGCAGAACUGCAUCACUCACCCGCACAUUGCGAGCUACUCCAAGGUAAGAAGUGCCAAUAACACCAGUGAUAUCUAUAAGCUUCCCCAUUUUUAACUAAUCAUCGAACCAAAAGUAGGCAGUGUGGUCAUCAUUCACCUAGUACUGAAUAAACAGAUACACUAGAGGUCUCAACUUCAAGAGUUUUCUUCAUACCCAUGAACCUUUUCCAUCUACCUUUACAUUCCAAAAAGAGUUUUGUGUCAGCAGAUAUUGAUCUAUCCAGGAGACCCACAAGGAACUUUUAAGCAAUUUUUUUUUCCAAAUGAGACUCAUAGCAAACGCCGUGGAGGAGUCACAAAGCUUUCUGAUUCCAAGACCACCUUCCUCUUUAGGAUACCAAAGCUCUUCCCAUGCCACCUUAGCUUUUGUUGGUCUGAAAUCUGAUUUGGAGAGCCCGACCACAAAAAAGUAGUGCACAUACUUUCAAUCUCAUCCAGACAAGCUUUAGGAAGAAUGAAAGUUGGCUCCAGAAGUUUACAAUACUAGAGAUAAUAGACUUGAUUAAUUGUAAACGACCAGCAUAGGAGAGACUUGUUGCGCCAAGAGAUCAUCCUCUUACGUACUAUGUCUAUCAAAGUUCCAUAGUCCUGCUUUGUGGGGGCCUUAGUGAUGAAAAGCAUACCCAUAUACCAAACCGGUAAAGUUCCCACCUUGAUUCCUAUAUGCUCAACUUCGUGUAUUAUUGGGUUUGUAGUCUGUCAUGCGGCAAAGAUGGUGGAUUUAGAUGCAUUUAUGUGAAGUCCUGAGAUGCUGGCAAACUGAUUCAUAACAUCCAGAACACCACGUAAAGAUUUAACCAAACCAUUAGUAAACACCAGUAUAUCAUCGGCAAAACUGAGAUGUGCGAGAUGCACUUCUCUACACUGCGGGUGAUAAGCGAACUGAUGUGCUGCCGCUGUGUUAUUCAACAUAUUAGUCAAGAGAUUAUUCAAUAUGACAUAGAGAUAAAACGACAGGGAGAAGUCUUGACGGAUUCCUCUAGCACUAGUUAAAAAGCCUUCCAAGCUACCUUGAUGUUGACAUAGAACGAUGCAAUAGAUAUGCAUACUUUGAUCCAAAGUAUAAACUGAGCGGGGAGGCCCAUGGCUUUGAGAAAAGAAGUAAUAAAAGACCACUUGAUUGUGUCGAAAGCCUUGGAGAUAUCAAACUUCAUUGUGGCUCUGUUGGAAUUUGAGGUCCUAUAGUAACCAUUCACAAGUUCCAACGCUAGCAGCACAUUUUCUAGCAACAAGCGACCUUUGAUGAAAGUUAUCUGAUUUGACUUGAUUGCAUCUGGUAGAAUGGUUUUAAGUCGACGAGCAAGGACUUUUGAUAUGACCUUAUAUAGUAAAUUGUAGCAGGCUAUUAGCUUAUAAUCAUUCAUAGACUACGCCUCCUCCGUUUUUGGUAUCAGUGUAAGGAUCGUAGUAUUAGUUCCAGUGGGUAAGAAACCAAACAAGAAGAAAGAUUUCACUGCUAUGAUGAAUUUUUCUCCAAUAAUAGGCCAAACAACAAUGUAAAAUUCUUUGGUGAAACCAUCUGGACCUUAUACCUUAUCAUUCGGGAGAGCAUGAAAAGCUGAUUUUAUUUCCUCAACGGAGACAUGGGCUACAAGUCCAGCAGCAAAUCUGGUAGGGCAUCGAUAGGUGAGUAUUUCCUGCAGCAUAGGAUACAAAUCUACUUCAACAGCCUGAUCCUGAGCUUGAAGAAAUCUCUAAAAAUGCUGAACUGCUUACCUCUAUCUGAGAUCAUAGUAAGAGUUUGUUGUAGCACCACAAGCUGAGGUUCCUCUAGUCCGCAAGGGUCCUACAACCAGGUCAGGUGUGCGGGUCAUAAGAGCUGGGUUUACCAAGGCCGUCCAAGAGAUACUUGAGCAAGACCAGACCGGCUUCAAACAAUUGUUGAUUCAAGAGAUGGCCGAGUUAAAGCUUGAAGAUCAAGCCGAUCCAGUUGAGGUUCAAGACCCGUCAGGCUCGAUCCAGUUCUCCUCUAUCGAUCAGAGCCAAGUCGGUUUAAUCAUGUCCACAUUCAGUCUCGGUUCAUCCGUCCCAAUUGAUCCAGGUUCAAAGAUUUAGCUGUCCGGUCUGAUUAAGGUAAGCAUGUAAGAUUUCAAUUUGCUUUCUAACCGGUUUAUUGUUUUUGAUUUGUGUCUGGUUUAUUUAUUUCAAUUUGGUUAAGAUAUUAUGGGCAAAUUGUUAAGUCCUUUUAAUUUAUUUUGAGUCCAAUAAUUCAGGCCUUUGUUAGCCUUGCUUUAGAGUCCAAGUAGAGUCGGUCCUUUCUGUUUAGGCCUUUCUGUUUUACAGUCCAAGAGUGUCAAUGUUGUUUUUGCUUCAAGUCGGCAAAGCUGCAUCUGGUAUUUAAACCCCCUUAUGAGAAGCUGUCUAUUUUUUUAGACAAGAUAAUAUAUGAGUCAGUUUGCCCCUAGCAAAACCUAAGCCUUUCAAUGGUGAGAAACAAUUGAGAGCAACAUUCUAGACAUAUCAAAGACCCGGCCAUUGUUCUUUGUGGAGUCGAUCGAUCCAUCUUCAUCCCUUGUCCGAUCUUGAGAGAGACACACAUCCAGCAAGACCCGGAUCCAUCUCUAUCCAUCAUUCCAUCCGCUGAUCUUGUUGAGAGAGACAUACAACCAGCAACAGAUCCCAUCUUCCAUCCUUUCAGCUCUUUCUUUUGUUUACCUUUUCAUAUUGCAAAUCAUUCAUCCUUGCUUGUUUUUAAUCUAUUUUGAAACCCCAUAAAAACCAUUCAUAUAGUUUACUUUCUGUCUUCCCAACUAGUAAAAUAUAAAAACUCACAAAAAGAACUCAUUGUUUCAGGUACAGAUCGUCUCCAAGACCGUCCAUCCGCGAAGCCAUCCACGCGAUACUGUCCAGCCGAGCCGGGUCCGUACCGCGGCCGGACCUCAGUCCGUCCAGUUCGAUCAGACUGUGCCUACAACAGAGUUGCACCAGCCGCGUUAACCAGACUUUUAAUUGUGUUUCGAGAAGAUCUUGUCUGCACUGCUCGAUGGAAAAAUAGUGUAUUAUGAUCUCCAGCUCCACGUAAUCUAAUACAAGGCUUCUGGCGAAUUUUUUUUUUUUUAAUACUGGAUAGUUUGUUUUACCUUUCAGACGUCUCAGCUGCCGCUGCAAAAUUUACCAGGUUCGGGUCCAAAAGAGCCAAGUUUUGACAUCGACACAUCUCUUCAAAAGCUUGCUUUGUUUUGUUUUGUUAGGCAGGUCCUCGUAAUGAGUUUUGUUAAGCAUUUUUAUUUUAUACUUCAGUAGUUUUAACUUAGCAUGAAAUCUGCUUAGUGAUGCCCGUGAGUGAUGAAUAGCUUCAUUCUACACUCUCUUAACCGUAGGGAGAAAAUUAGGGUAUUCAGUGAAAUUAUUGAAAAAUCGAAAAGGCUUUCUUACCUUAUUAAAAUUGCCUGAGAUUUGAACUAUACAGCGAACAUAGAUCAAUAUACCUCCUGCGUCGAAAUGAGAAGAAGAAUAGGUAUAAUUAAUUUUGUUAUAACAAUAGUUUUUCUUUACUUUACUGAAUUGGGUUAAGAUAUGUCAAUUUAUAUAUUUUUAAACACUUUGAUGGCAUUUUACAUAAUAUCUUCAUCUUUAUGUAGCAUGGAUUUCAGAUUAAGAAUAUAUAUUUAUAUAGCAUUUAGGUAAAACCAACCAGGGAACAAUAUCAUGUAUAAUAAAACAUAUUGUUCAAGCGUUUUCUAACUUAAAGGUUGCCAUGGCAAUGCCAUAUGUCACUUUUUAUAUAUUUGUUAGUAAAAUACAUAUACAAAGUUUGAGAAAGUGACAUGUUAUUUUUUUUUUUAAAUACAGUUACUUGAUUUAUUUAUUUUGACAAAAUUGAUUUAUUUUAAGAUGAUAAAAGAUUUAACUUUGAUUAGGAUGAAAUGUCAGUGAAGAUAAUUUUCCAACAGUCUUUAUGACAUCUUACAUCCCUUAUGUUACAUGGAUUUGAAAACAUAUGUAAUAAAACAUUCGUUUUCUAUAUUAAAAGUUUUCAUGUGUCACUUUAUUAUAUAAGAUUCUUACAUAAUCUUUUUUUUUGGUAAAAUAUUAAUAUUUAUACUAUUUUGAAUUUUCCACAUUGUUGCUAGCAACUUAUUAAACAAGAAAGAAAAGAAACAACAACAACACAACCAUAUUUUGCUAUAGUAAUUUGAAUAAUUUUAGCUGGCCAAAACAAAAAAAAGAUCAGCGGCACCUAUACUAAUAGAAUGACACAACCAUAUGUAUAAUACAGUUGGACGCGUUCACCAUAUAGUUAACACACGUUUUAAAGAUCUAGAGUUGGACGCGUUCGCUAUGUAACUAACUAACACAUGUCUGUGAUUAUUUUCAACUUACAAAAUCUAGAAUGUGCGUCUUAAAUCCGCAACAUAUAUUUACAGUUUUUCUACAAAACAAGACCAUUCUAAGAAAAAAGAAUACAUAAAUUGUUACGAAAUGAGAAAUUAGAAAGUAGUGUAUGAUAAAUAAAACAAACACAUCAUACUUUCAAUCUGACUCUAUUUUUCGCUGUAAAAUAAAAUUUAAAAUAAAAAUAUUUAAUAAAUUUACUAUACAAAUAAAUUAUUUAUUUAUUUUUUUAUUCAUCACUCUAUUUUAUGCACUAAUAGACAAAUAUUUUAGAGUUUGUCUAGUGAUCAGUUUUCCUAUAAAAAUGAAUCUUGAAUAAUGCGUAGAAAAACAAUCCAACUAACCACUCAAUCGUAUAUGCCAUGAAAAAAAAAACAGAUCAUUAUUGAAAGAAAACUCAAUUUUAUUAUAGAAUUAUUGUAUUUAAAAAAAAAAUUAUAUAGUGAACCUUUUACAACAUAUGUUUAUUUAUUAUAAUAAGUAAAGACACGAUACUGUCAGUACUUAAUUUUUAUAAAGAAAAUUCAGAUAACUAAUAUUGUUUUAAAAUAAUAAAAUUUACAAAUAAUUAUAGCUUUCACAAGGGUUUCCUUCUUAUUUAAAAUUUAAAAUAUUACAUCACCCAAAAGAGAACAGCAUAAAACAUAGUGUUGUUGCUAAAUUUAUCAAUAGUUUUUGAGAAUCUAAUUAAUGGUUUGAAAAUGUGAGCGGAGUGAUUAACUUUUAUACUGUGUAUUUAGUUAGAAAAGAUAAUGUGAUUAUUAAUUAAGUGAUAAAAUUAUGGGAACCGAAAUUCACACCGUCAAUUUCUGUAAUCGGAGAAAAGUCGAAAAAUCUUAAUUUUUUUCUAGGUCCCAGAUUCUUUGCGAGAGCCAACGACAAGUGAUCAAACAAAUGCGAAAAAUACGAAAAGAUAACAAAACGAAUUCAUAGAAAAAUGUAGAUUUUAUUUCGAAUCCGCGUAAGAGAGUUACAAUCAUUACAAGAGAUUAUAAAAGCUUCGGCCGCAAGAGCUGUCAGCGAAUUACUUAGUUCUAGCAACCUAAAACCUUAAACCUAGUUGAAUCACAGCUCGAUAACAGAAGACGAAAACAAUACGAAAAAGGUUUUGAUUGAUUUCAGACUGAACCUUAUGAAAGGAUGCCUACCCCUUUCGAGGAUCAAGCUGAACGUAGUUUGAUUGAAAGAGUAGAAUAAGAGAUCAAACCGCCUUUGCGAGUUCGUCUAGUAAUCGGUGCCAGUCAUAGAAACAGAACAUGUCGAGAAUUAAGCCUAAAGUUUCUAAGUGCAGAGAGUUUUAAGAGUAAAAAGAAUUGUCCCUUUGCCUCUUCAACCUCGACGUCCUUAUAUACUUCUCCUAUAGGCGGUUUGCUCUUUUUCUGCUUUCGGUCGAGUUUAUUGCUUCGAAGAAAUAUUCCAUUUUCCUUCGAUCUUCGUGUUUAUCUUUAGAAACUUCACAUUUAUCCUUUGAACUUGACAUUUAUGUUCUGUAGAAUAAAAGAUAAAACCGUCAUAACGAUUGGGCUCGAUUUUGCAUAAAAUGUUAAAUAUGAUGAAUUCACUUUAAUAUGUAUUAUAUACAAAGGAGGAAUUCCAAAAAAUAACAUUUUUAGUUAUUUUCACAAAAGAACUCCAAAGAAAAAAAUGAGCAUAAGUGGUUUCAUUGAAUGUUAAAUACAUAUUUAUGCAUCUAAGGUUAACUAAUCCUAAAAUUUGGAUUUAAAAUUGAGGGAUGAGAUUUUGGCAUGAGUUUUAAAAAAUUUUAAAUAAAAAAUAAAUAUUAAAAAUUUUAAACUAAAUUUUUUAAACAUAGUUUCAAAAAUAUUUUCGAAUUUCAAAAAGAAAAUUGAAAACAAAAUCAAAAAAAAAAUUCUAAAAAAUAUAUAAAAACUUGAAUUUGAAAACAUAUAAUUAGAAUUGUUAUUUUUUUUAAAAAAAAAAUUAUUAUUAGUUAUAUAUCUAUAAAAAUAUUGUGUAGAAAUGUCUUUUGUUUUUUUAAUAAACCUAUUUUCGGUAAUCAAAAUAUAAUUAUACUAUUAAAACCUGAUUUUUUUUUCGAAAUUACAUUUAGCUUAUUUUCAACUUUACAACUUACACCGCUGUAUUUUAAACUAUCAACAUUUAUUUGUAUUUAAAUGUUUAUGUUUUGUUCCAGCAUUUAAAACUUUUUAACACUUUCCAAAGCUUAGAAUAGUUGAUGUAUUUUAUUGUAGUUUCAAUUCUUUUUGUUUCGUAUACACUAAAUUAUGUAAUUAGUAAAUGAUACCCAAUUAGCAUCCUCUAUAAGCAAUAAAUACAAUACUAAAUCAUUAUAAAUACAAUGCACAAUAGUCUUAGCUUUAUUGUGAACAGUGCACAAUAGUCUUCAUAAAUACAAUACUAAAUCAUUAGCUAUUGUUUCCUAUAUUUCUUAAAAAGUGUCACUUUGAUAUUUUUUAUGGUGAUUAAAAAUAUUGGAUAAUAGACUAAAAUGUCUUUAUUUAAUAUAUAUAAUGUAUGUUUAAUUAAAUAAAAAAUAUUUAGAUAAAAAUCUAUUGAUUAUUCAAAAGAGUAAAAGAUAGUUUUAGUGUAUAAAAUUACAUUGAAAAUGUAGAAAGAUAUUUUUU